rnacentral:rRNA from 1 species
CAGUCGCCGCGGUAACACGAAGGGUGCAAGCGUUAAUCGGAAUUACUGGGCGUAAAGCGUGCGUAGGCGGUUUGUUAAGUCUGCUGUGAAAUCCCCGGGCUCAACCUGGGAAUGGCAGUGGAUACUGGCAAGCUAGAGUGUGUCAGAGGAUGGUGGAAUUCCCGGUGUAGCGGUGAAAUGCGUAGAGAUCGGGAGGAACAUCAGUGGCGAAGGCGGCCAUCUGGGACAACACUGACGCUGAGGCACGAAAGCGUGGGGAGCAAACAGGAUUAGAUACCCCCGUAGUCCCUGUCUCUUAUAC